GGUUGUUUAAGUCUCAAAAUUCCAGUUUGAUUGAAGGUUAUGCCUCUUUGGGCAAGGUGACUAGCUCCUCGCCAAAUCUUGAUAUUUUGUGAUGUGCAGCGACACCUGUACAAUUUGAGGUGGCAUAAAAUAAAUAUUGUAGAUUUUGUGCGGGAAAUGGCGACUAAUCCAACUGGAAACUUCGCUUUGUCUAUUCUGAAAUGAAAAUGAGUGAUGCAAUACGUGAACAGUUCCUCAACAAUACUGGAUGGACAAGUCUACUAGCAGCAGCUGGAUUCUAAACACCAAUUCUAUCAAUGCACAAGAUCAAAAUCAAUAGUAUAGCUCAAGCUGGACCAAAUAAGUUUCCAACAGCAGAAAGGUAGCACACGAAACAGGCAUUCUUUCCUAGCCAAAAUGACAAAAAAGAAGAGGCUCAAACUCAAGGGGAAUUAUUGAAGAAAAGGAAGGAACCUACAAAGCUGUUCAAUUUCUGGACAACAAAGAGUCAUAUUACAACAAUUUCGGUUUAUAACUGUACCACUAGAAUUUCCAGCACCACAUGCGAAAUAUGUACAGCAUUGACAACACGUGUGUUUUGUGGAGUUA